AACUUCUCUAUGCAGAGAAAGGAAGAAGCCAGCUGAAAAAUCACUUGAGAAACCAUCUGUUAUAUGCCACCUUUUCCUAGUUUAGGUGAGCAGCAAGUAACCAGAAUUAUCCAGCCUCCAGUGGA